ACGACGAGUGCAGGGGCAAAAGCUCGAAUUUGUAUCUGGUACUUCGGUGCCCGAGUUGUAAUUUGGAGAGGGCUUCUUUGGGGCCGUUCCUUGUCUAUGUUCCUUGGAACAGGACGUCAUAAAGGGUGAGAAUCCCGUGUGGCGAGGAGUGUGGUUCUUUGUAAAGUGCCUUCGAAGAGUCGAGUUGUUUGGGAAUGCAGCUCUAAGUGGGUGGUAAAUUCCAUCUAAAGCUAAAUAUUGGCGAGAGACCGAUAGCGAACAAGUACAGUGAUGGAAAGAUGAAAGAACUUUGAAAAGAGAGUGAAAAAGUACGUGAAAUUGUUGAAAGGGAAGGGCAUUUGAUCAGACAUGGUGUUUUGUGCCCUCUGCUCCUUGUGGGUAGGGGAAUCUCGCAUUUCACUGGGCCAGCAUCAGUUUUGGUGGCAGGAUAAAUCCAUAGGAAUGUAGCUUGCCUCGGUAAGUAUUAUAGCCUGUGGGAAUACUGCCAGCUGGGACUGAGGACUGCGACGUAAGUCAAGGAUGCUGGCAUAAUGGUUAUAUGCCGCCCGUCUUGAAACACGGACCAAGGAGUCUAACGUCUAUGCGAGUGUUUGGGUGUAAAACCCAUACGCGUAAUGAAAGUGAACGUAGGUUGGGGCCUCGCAAGAGGUGCACAAUCGACCGAUCCUGAUGUCUUCGGAUGGAUUUGAGUAAGAGCAUAGCUGUUGGGACCCGAAAGAUGGUGAACUAUGCCUGAUAGUGAAAACCCCAAAAAAAAAANNNGGGCAGCGNCACCACNNAAAANNUUCGGGGGCGAAAGGCCACCUCCAUUUUUGUAUAUUUAGAAGAGGAAGAACCCUCGCCCCUG
rnacentral:rRNA from 1 species